GAUGAAGAACGUAGCGAAAUGCGAUAAGUAAUGUGAAUUGCAGAAUUCAGUGAAUCAUCGAAUCUUUGAACGCACAUUGCGCCCGCCAGUAUUCUGGCGGGCAUGCCUGUUCGAGCGUCAUUUCAACCAUCAAGCCCCAGGCUUGUGUUGGGGACCUGCGGCUGCCGCAGGCCCUGAAAUGCAGUGGCGGGCUCGCUGUCACUCCGAGCGUAGUAGUUACAUCUCGCUCUGGGCGUGCUGCGGGUUCCGGCCGUUAAAAGCCUUAUUUACCCAAGGUUGACCUCGGAUCAGGUAGGAAGACCCGCUGAACUUAAGCAUAUCAAUAAGCGGAGGA
rnacentral:misc_RNA from 1 species